rnacentral:rRNA from 1 species
UACGAAGGGGGCUAGCGUUGCUCGGAAUUACUGGGCGUAAAGCGCACGUAGGCGGCUUUGUAAGUUAGAGGUGAAAGCCCGGAGCUCAACUCCGGAAUUGCCUUUAAGACUGCAUCGCUCGAAUCAUGGAGAGGUGAGUGGAAUUCCGAGUGUAGAGGUGAAAUUCGUAGAUAUUCGGAAGAACACCAGUGGCGAAGGCGACUCACUGGACAUGUAUUGACGCUGAGGUGCGAAAGCGUGGGGAGCAAACAGG